rnacentral:rRNA from 1 species
UACGUAGGGUGCGAGCGUUAAUCGGAAUUACUGGGCGUAAAGAGCACGUAGGCGGCGGUGCAAGUUGGGGGUGAAAUCCCGGGGCUCAACCCUGGAAUUGCCUCCAAAACUGUGCUGCUUGAGUUCGGAAGAGGAGAGUGGAAUUCCCAGUGUAGAGGUGAAAUUCGUAGAUAUUGGGAAGAACACCAGUGGCGAAGGCGGCUCUCUGGUCCGAUACUGACGCUGAGGUGCGAAAGCGUGGGGAGCAAACAGG